GGUGAGAUGGGUGAGUGGCUUAAACCACAUCCCUGCUAAGGAUGCGUACGGGUAACUGUACCGAGGGUUCGAAUCCCUCUCUCACCGCCA
rnacentral:tRNA from 17 species